rnacentral:rRNA from 1 species
UACGAAGGGGGCUAGCGUUGCUCGGAAUUACUGGGCGUAAAGCGCACGUAGGCGGCUUUCUAAGUCGGGGGUGAAAUCCUGGAGCUCAACUCCAGAACUGCCUUCGAUACUGGAAAGCUCGAGUCCGGGAGAGGAGGGUGGAAUUCCUGGUGUAGCGGUGAAAUGCGUAGAGAUCAGGAGGAACACCCGGGCGAGCGAGCCGCGUCUGGACCGUA